AACGAACGCUGGCGGCAUGCCUAACACAUGCAAGUCGAACGAGACCUUCGGGUCUAGUGGCGCACGGGUGCGUAACGCGUGGGAAUCUGCCCUUGGGUUCGGAAUAACAGUUAGAAAUGACUGCUAAUACCGGAUGAUGUCUUCGGACCAAAGAUUUAUCGCCCAGGGAUGAGCCCGCGUCGGAUUAGCUAGUUGGUAGGGUAAAAGCCUACCAAGGCGACGAUCCGUAGCUGGUCUGAGAGGAUGAUCGGCCACACUGGGACUGAGACACGGCCCAGACUCCUACGGGAGGCAGCAGUGGGGGAUAUUGGACAAUGGGCGAAAGCCUGAUCCAGCAAUGCCGCGUGAGUGAUGAAGGCCUUAGGGUUGUAAAGCUCUUUUACCCGGGAUGAUAAUGACAGUACCGGGAGAAUAAGCCCCGGCUAACUCCGUGCCAGCAGCCGCGGUAACAC
rnacentral:rRNA from 1 species